rnacentral:rRNA from 1 species
UACGGAGGGUGCAAGCGUUAUCCGGAUUCACUGGGUUUAAAGGGUGCGUAGGUGGGAAUGUAAGUCAGUGGUGAAAUCUCUGAGCUUAACUCAGAAACUGCCAUUGAUACUAUAUUUCUUGAAUUUUUCUGGAGGUCAGCGGAAUAUGUCAUGUAGCGGUGAAAUGCUUAGAUAUGACAUAGAACACCAAUUGCGAAGGCAGCUGACUACAGGGAUAUUGACACUGAGGCACGAAAGCGUGGGGAUCAAACAGG